UACGGGGGGGGCAAGCGUUGUUCGGAAUUACUGGGCGUAAAGGGCUCGUAGGCGGCCAACUAAGUCGGAUGUGAAAUCCCCGAGCUCAACUCGGGAACUGCGUCCGAUACUGGCGGGCUUGAAUCCGGGAGAGGGAUGCGGAAUUCCAGGUGUAGCGGUGAAAUGCGUAGAUAUCUGGAGGAACACCGGUGGCGAAGGCGGCAUCCUGGACCGGCAUUGACGCUGAGGCGCGAAAGCUAGGGGAGCAAACGGG
rnacentral:rRNA from 1 species